GACGAACGCUGGCGGCGUGCUUAACACAUGCAGGUCGAACGGAAAGGCCCUGCUUUUGUGGGGUGCUCGAGUGGCGAACGGGUGAGUAACACGUGAGUAACCUGCCCUUGACUUUGGGAUAACUUCAGGAAACUGGGGCUAAUACCGGAUAGGAACUCCUGCUGCAUGGUGGGGGUUGGAAAGUUUCGGCGGUUGGGGAUGGACUCGCGGCUUAUCAGCUUGUUGGUGGGGUAGUGGCUUACCAAGGCUUUGACGGGUAGCCGGCCUGAGAGGGUGACCGGCCACAUUGGGACUGAGAUACGGCCCAGACUCCUACGGGAGGCAGCAGUGGGGAAUAUUGCACAAUGGGCGGAAGCCUGAUGCAGCAACGCCGCGUGCGGGAUGACGGCCUUCGGGUUGUAAACCGCUUUCGCCUGUGACGAAGCGUGAGUGACGGUAAUGGGUAAAGAAGCACCGGCUAACUACGUG
rnacentral:rRNA from 1 species